AGAGUUUGAUCCUGGCUCAGGAUGAACGCUAGCGACAGGCUUAACACAUGCAAGUCGAGGGGCAGCACGGUGUAGCAAUACACUGGUGGCGACCGGCGCACGGGUGAGUAACACGUGUGCAACCAACCCCGUACCGGGAGAUAACCCGCGGAAACGUGGACUAACAUCCCAUAAUACUGGAGGAUCGCAUGAUCUUUCAUUUAAAAUUCCGGUGGUACGGGACGGGCACGCGCGACAUUAGGUAGUUGGCGGGGUAACGGCCCACCAAGCCGACGAUGUCUAGGGGUUCUGAGAGGAAGGUCCCCCACACUGGAACUGAGACACGGUCCAGACUCCUACGGGAGGCAGCAGUGAGGAAUAUUGGUCAAUGGGCGAGAGCCUGAACCAGCCAAGUCGCGUGAGGGAUGAAUGGUCCAUGGCCUGUAAACCUCUUUUGUCAAGGAAGAAUAAAUUGCACGUGUGCGAUCUUGCCAGUACUUGACGAAUAAGCAUCGGCUAACUCCGUGCCAGCAGCCGCGGUAAUACGGGGGAUGCGAGCGUUAUCCGGAUUUAUUGGGUUUAAAGGGCGCGUAGGCGGGACGCCAAGUCAGCGGUAAAAGACUGCAGCUAAACUGUAGCACGCCGUUGAAACUGGCGCCCUCGAGACGAGACGAGGGAGGCGGAACAAGUGAAGUAGCGGUGAAAUGCUUAGAUAUCACUUGGAACCCCGAUAGCGAAGGCAGCUUCCCAGGCUCGAUCUGACGCUGAUGCGCGAGAGCGUGGGUAGCGAACAGGAUUAGAUACCCUGGUAGUCCACGCCGUAAACGAUGCUCACUGGAUCUUGGCGAUACACUGCCAGGGUUCAAGCGAAAGUAUUAAGUGAGCCACCUGGGGAGUACGUCGGCAACGAUGAAACUCAAAGGAAUUGACGGGGGCCCGCACAAGCGGAGGAACAUGUG
rnacentral:rRNA from 1 species